rnacentral:lncRNA from 1 species
UAAAAACAAGAAUUUGUGUCCAUCACUGAACCACAUGACAAAUUUUUGUCCAUAAUACAACUUAUUCUGGAUCGGCUAAAGUCCAAACACAUCAAAGCUCAACAUAAUGGGAUAAAAAUAACACGUGGCAGAAACGACCACAGAACCACGCAAACAAGCACGGAUAAAGGACCUACACUCCUCACAUCCAAACGUGCUCAGUAAAAAAGGACAAUCCAGGUGUUAUAUAUGGCUGAUCCUCUACACAUGGGGACCCACUAUACUGUAAAACCG